rnacentral:rRNA from 1 species
UGGGGAAUAUUGGACAAUGGGCGCAAGCCUGAUCCAGCAAUGCCGCGUGUGUGAAGAAGGCCUGCGGGUUGUAAAGCACUUUCAAUUGGGAAGAAAAGCGGUCGGUUAAUACCCGGCUGUCUUGACGUUACCUUUACAAGAAGCACCGGCUAACUCCGUGCCAGCAGCCGCGGUAAUACGGAGGGUGCGUGCGUUAAUCGGAAUUACUGGGCGUAAAGCGCGCGUAGGCGGUUGGGUAAGUCGGAUGUGAAAGCCCCGGGCUUAACUUGGGAAUUGCAUUCGAAACUGCCCGGCUAGAGUAUGGGAGAGGGAAGCGGAAUUUCCGGUGUAGCGGUGAAAUGCGUACAUAUCGGAAGGAACAUCAGUGGCGAAGGCGGCUUCCUGGCCCAAUACUGACGCUCAGGUGCGAAAGCGUGGGGAGCGAACAGGAUUAGAUACCCCCGUAGUCC